AUUGAACGCUGGCGGCAUGCCUUACACAUGCAAGUCGAACGGCAGCACGGGAGCAAUCCUGGUGGCGAGUGGCGAACGGGUGAGUAAAGUAUCGGAACGUGCCCAGUCGUGGGGGAUAACGUAGCGAAAGUUACGCUAAUACCACAUACGAUCUAUGGAUGAAAGCGGGGGAUCGCAAGACCUCGCGCGAUUGGAGCGGCCGAUAUCAGAUUAGGUAGUUGGUGGGGUAAAGGCUCACCAAGCCGACGAUCUGUAGCUGGUCUGAGAGGACGACCAGCCACACUGGGACUGAGACACGGCCCAGACUCCUACGGGAGGCAGCAGUGGGGAAUUUUGGACAAUGGCGAAAGCCUGAUCCAGCCAUGCCGCGUGCAGGAUGAAGGCCUUCGGGUUGUAAACUGCUUUUGUACGGAACGAAAAGGUUUGGCCUAAUAAGCUGAGCUCAUGACGGUACCGUAAGAAUAAGCACCGGCUAACUACGUGCCAGCCGCCGCAGUAA
rnacentral:rRNA from 1 species